UCCAGUAGGGCCCAAGCCAGCCAGGAAGGAGGAGGCAGCCAGAGAGGCCUCCACUGUUCUCUGCAGCAGAAGACCCCUUGCUGCCAGAUUUGUAUACUUCCUCCUCCUUCUCUGCCCUCCCAUGUGAUCAGAUCCAGAGUAAAAUCCAGGUAAUCCGGGCAGAGCAUUUGAAAUCCAUGUAAAUCUGGGUAGAACUCAGCAGCCGGGUGAAGGAGCCAAAAUCCAGGGGCUACCCUAAAUUCUGGGGGACAUGGCAACCCUACCCCAGCUGCAGGAGAAGUGCACAGAGUGCUUCACCGCUUCUCUUGCCGGACCUCAGCAUUCAACCACAGUCCUGUCUCCCACCACAGCAGCCAGCUAAUCAUUUCUCAAUUAUGUCAGUUGAACUUUGAAGCUCUUCAGCUCACAAUUCAAAAGCCUUUGGAAGCACUCCCGCUGGGAAAAACUUGAGUGUUUACACAGUCUGCAGUCACUUUGGAUAAAAUUAAGUGUGCAAACCCAUUGAUCCUACCUCAACCAAACCUCAUUUACAAUGGCUCUAUGUCAACCACUUUCUCCAGUGCCAUUUCCUCAAUUUAAAUCACUCUCCCAGAAACUGUUAUUAGCCCCUAGGGGACUUUUUUCCAAGGGGAUAAAAGGCACCAAGUGCCUGUGGUGUACCUAUCUUUUAAUCACUUGCAGUUAAUGAGGCAGGUCUCAUGAACAGUGAGACCCACUUUUGCCGCUUUUGCGGGGAGAGUGGGCUAAGCCCCAGGCGCCACUUGAAGUGGGAGGGCGCCAUUUUUUAAAAUCAUUUUUUUAAAAUGGCCACUGAAAACAAAAUGGCCACCGUGCAUGCUCAAAUGGCCUCUGUGAGGUCCUAGGCCAUGCCAGGCCUCGCAGAGGCCAUUUGAGCAUGCGCAGUGGCCAUUUUGUUUUCAGUGACCAUUUUUUAAAAACAAAAUUUAUUUUAAAAAAUGGCCACUGCACAUGCUAAAAUGGUCCCUACGAGGCCCUAGAGGCCAGCAGGGGGGGGACCUUUGCAGACCCCCGCAUGGCCUUUAGGAAGCCCCCCGAAGGGGUUACAGGUUAAAAAAACUUGUCAAUGUUCAUAGAUUGAAGGGCAUGGAAUGCCUUAAAAUAACCAGCCCAUCAUUUCUGCACAUUGAUUACAUUAUAUAGAAAGCAGAGGAAAGCCAUUUUAAACCUGAAAGUAGAUUCUGAUCAAUGUUGCUUCUUCAUUUGACCUACAAAUGUGAGAAAUCCAAAUAAAAUUCUUAGGGGCUAUUAUCACGAGCAGCAAAAAUUGAACUAGGAGAGACUAGCCCGAUUUUUGCUGCUCGUGUAAACCACCAGGCUCGCAGGCUUAAGCUCGUGAGCUUACAAGAGGCUAGCCCGAUUUUUGUAGCCAUCCCCUAAGCCUGGGUUUGCGGAGUGAGCGCUCUGCAAACUUGGGCUUCCCAAUCGUGAGUAGCCGCAGGAUGGCUCCACACUGCAGCUACUCACGAGUAAACCCCAGAGGGGAGGCGAAAAUCAGGGAAUAAUUUUUUUUUUUUAACCGAAAACAUUCACAACCCCUCAAAGAGUCGGAGGGUAUUCGGUCCGGUGUCAGACUAAACGGGAUGGUUUGGUUUGACCCCAGACCACCGAACCGAACAGGUUUGACAUUGAACUUAUCGAACGUCAAACCUGUUCGCACAUCCCUAGCUAGAAUCACAACAUUUGACCUGGAUCCCUUUGUGCUUGAAUUUUAACAGCCAGUCUAGUGAGUACAAUUCUUUAGCCACUCUGUUUCCACCCUUCCUAUUUGUUCUCAUUGGAAAUAAAGCAUGAAGCAACUCAAAUAUCCCCAUGAAACUUCUUCCCUUGCAAACACAGCGGAAUAACCUUUAAUGAGUAGCUUAGUGAAUUCCACCCCUGCUGAUUUGGAACAAUUGCCCAGUAAAAGCAUCAGCACAAUACAGAGCUCCUAAUUAAUGGACAAGCAGCAUGACUACUGUAGCCCAUUUAAGUGGUAACUCUGUUUACAAGAGAGAAUUCGUGUUUUCUUGCUGGCAGGAAUUCCCGACCGUAGAUAGUUCACGUUUGGCUUCUUCCCCUGUUGUCAAUUUGGUUGCUAAACACUACUUCUUUUUUUUAAAAAACCCACCACGAUUUCAAUGGCUUGUUCAGUGCUUGCAUUAUGAGGAUGAGCUGAAGAAAAUGGACUAUUUCAGAGCAAUUGUGUUCUCCAGAUGCAUAAACUGUAGCAGAUCAACAAGAAAA